UUUCCCCCCCACCUCUAGCUGCCAGACAGAUGAGCACUUCAUCAUCAGACUUGUAAGGACAGCUGAUUCUCACCCUUCUGCAAGCAAAAUCCUCUUAAUCACAGUGAGGUUAAGUAGAUUUUCUGGGAAGUUCUCAACACAACAGUCCCCACAGUGGAAAUCUGUGCUGAACAAUCACUCACAUAAAAGCACCUUUCUCCACGAGCACUGUACAAACUAGGACCUCUGUGUUCCAGAAGAGUGGGAAAUCCUGAUGAAUAGCAAGAUCCGCUCUGGAUUCAGAUACUUCUGAAGAGAGACAGUUUUACAGGGCAACCAAAAGUAUUCCAGCUUUCGGCCACGGGUCAAGGGUCCCCUGGAUUUUGUACAGUGGAAUGCAGGAUCUAUUUAGAUAUAUCUUAGGAUGCCUGUUGAGUAAAAAUGACCUUUACUAGUUAGACAUUGUGCCUCUGAGUGUACAAGUUGAAUGGUUGCAUGUGCAGUGAGUCAGCACUUAAUUCUUCGGCUCCCUGUCGGUUUUUAAGUUUCUGAACUGAUCAAAUAAAGACUGAACAUACAGUUACUCACAAUAUUUUCUCUCUUCUUCUUCCCCCCACAUUAAGACCAAGCAGCAGAUUCGGAGACCAGUGAGAUUAAAGAACAAGCAAGGAAACAAAAAAACUUCCAUGAUUUUAGGCAAUUUGGACAUGGCCACUGAAGAGACUAACAGGAAAAAUAUCUGAUCAUGUAAACAUAUUAUCAGAACUUCUCCUAGGAGCAGGAAUUUUGCUUAGAUAGGCUAAAAACUUCUCUAGAUCCAUAUUCUGCCAAAAGCAUCUUGUUACAUCUCAAAACUCAACUGAACAUUAGAGUUCAGUUGUACUACCCAAACAGCUGUAAGUUUUAUGAGCAAUAUUAGGAUUCACACUGGGAAAAUCACUAGAAAAACAAUUAUAUACAGAAGCAAAUGGUUAAAGACUAACUAAAAAUUGGAAGACCUAUUAAACACAUCCUGUUUGAGUUUAAGGUCAAAUGCAUGUCACCAAGGAACUCCUUUAAAAGACAAUGCAUCCAACAAGCUGCAAAAUUUAAAUCCUCAAUUGCAAGAAUUUUACCUGAAAAUCAGAGACGAAAGUGAAUAAACAGCUCAGCUGUCUCAGCUUCUCAGCUCUUCCAUCAAAUGUAUACCUUGCCUUUCAGCCUGAAAAAUCUUUCUUUACAGCCACAUGUGUUGCAGAGAACUUUACUCCCAAUGUUAUAAUUUCAAGGCAAUAAGUAGAUGCUAAAUAAUCUCUGCAUUGAGAGACUGCUGGUCACAGCUCAAUUAAUUGAGUCACUGACCUGAGCAGUGCCUUAAUCAAUGUUUUAAUCAAUUUUUUAUGAACAAAUUCAAAACUACUAAACACUUCUUUCACUGGUCCAACAAGAUAAAAAUGUGCUAACUCGGUGUAGAAGCCCAGAAGACAAGGGCAUUCUAAUUGAAAUGAGUUGUUUCCCCUCUUCAUUAAAAACUCCUAAUUUAAAAAGAGCCUCAUGUUCACCUGCAUCUAAACCCAUGUAAAGUGAAUUACACAGAUGAAAAACUGAGCAUUCAAGCCAGAGAAAGAAACAAACACCCCUGAAGGCUUCAGAGGCAUUUUUAACUGAGUUGUAACACAGGAAUCCAAACACCAUCUUACUGUGUCUGCUUUUGCUUUGCCCUAAAUAAUAACACACAGCUGUAUCUACACUGCUGAAUAUUUAGAUAAAAUGUAUCUGAAACCUGUGUAAGGUAAGCAACGCAUUUUUGCUGUUGUAACAUUAACUUUUGGCUUUUUUGACCUGUGUGUUCAAAAUGUUCCUUGCCUUAACACCCCCUUCAUUUUCUUUGCCCUAAAUAGUUGCACACACAGUGUGCAGACCUGUUUCAUGUUACCAAUGCUAGAAUUCCAAGCUGCACUUUGAUCAUGGCCCAAUGAGUGGUAAUUUUCUAUGUUGAACAUAUCAGUCUGAAAAAAACAAGAAGGGAAAAAAAAAAAGAACAAACUGUUCCCAGUCUCUGAAAUUUAAAAACAAAAACUCCACAGUUCCCAAAGUUAUCUGCUUCUUAUCAAGAUCCGUGUUUGGCACCAGAUGCAUUUGAUUCAUUCAUCAUUGUCAGUGCACUUACACACUAAUUAUUUCAAAUUGUUUCCUUGGGCAGAGGUCUAGGACAAAUGCAAGCAAGCCAAAAAUAGCAGUUAUGAAUAAUUAUGCAUAAUUUACCUCAAGGCCUGGGCCAGGCUAUCAUUAAAACGUCUUCUUUCCACCUGUGAUCCCAGCUAAUUGUGGACUUUAAAUUAGUUCAAGAUUACUUUUUCUUUUUUUUUAAUACGAUGCCAACAUUUAACCUUCCCAUUAGAAGUUUUCUGAUGUUUUAAAAAUUUCCAGUGAAAUGUCAACAAGGUUCCUUCUUUUUUAACCAUGCCCUUGUAUUUCCCAGCCUGACAACAAAGUUUGCUAACAGGAAAAACUUCAGAGACAAGGUCAGCACAUGCAGCCUCACGUUAAGGCUGCCAAACAAGGUUCUUAGAAAAGCACAGUUCCCCUCUCUCAACCUCAAAGUAAGUUCUGAUGCUCCAAAACUAAAGCUGGUUUAGUCCCUUAAACUUUCUGACUUUUAAAGUUCUGACUCCUUCUGGAGACAAGAAGAGAACUUUCCCAACAACAACAAAACAAAAAUUUAUAAAACACUUGCUCCUCCAAACUCAGAAGUACCUGUUUAAUUCUACAGACAGCAAACUCAUUAAUUCCAGUGGGAUCCAAAGGGGUCAGUGAUGAAGCUGUAGAUGAUUUUGCAGAACUGGAGCCUUAUUCCAUUAAUUGUAAUGAAUGUACCUCCUAUGUUGUUGUGCUGCUUUAACUCCUUAAAUUACAGCUUUGAAAUAAAAACUGAUGAAAAAAAAAGAAAACCCACCCUGAAGACUUCCAGGAGAAGAAACAUAUACCUCAAAAAAAAGCAAGUGUAUGUACCACUGAUAAUUCCUAAAUACUCUCCAGUUUGGGAACAAGCUUCACUUUUGAGACAACAGAAAGUAUGUAACAGUAGCCAGAGCUAUUAAUGCACAAAUUAUAAGUAUUGCUUACUCAGAAAAAAACCAUCUACGAAUUCCUCUAUUCAGUCUCUCAACAUCAGACCUCAUAGGGACAAAAAAUACUUCACUGUUCAGUUAACAGUGCAAGUCAUGCAGGAACCAGACCAGCUAAGUUGUGAAGCCUUGGGAGCCAAGGGUAUGUUUAUGUACUUUCCUUAUUCAGGAUAACAAAAAAUAUCAAAGCAGAUAUUUUAAAAAAAAAGUUAGACUCAGUAACAAAACAAACAAAAUGUAAGACAUUAUUAAAAAGAAAACAUACACACAGGAAAAGAUGAAUUGAAGCUGUCUUCUGGAUAGUUACUUAAAGCAUUAAUCACAAAAUAGCUCUUCUACUAAAUUCAGAUAUUCCUAAAAUAUCAAUGAAGUUUACAUGGUAUGACCAGUUCUAAAGCUGACACACAAUUCUUCAUCAUCUACAGAUUUUAGACAGAAGACAACGGAAACUAACGUGUUCUAAGUUGGCCCUUACUAAGUUUCACAAACACAAUAAGAAAAAACCCCAAAGAUUGCAGUGCAAUUCCGUUACAAAUAGAAAAAAACAACGAAAAUGAAUUCAUUAAACACUUGCUCCUCCAAAUUCAGAAGUAUCUGUUUAAUUCCACACACAGCAUGCUCAUUAAUUGCAGUGGGAUCCAAAGGGGUGAGUGAUGAAGGUGCAGAUCAUCUCACAGAACUAUGAGUGCUUUGGCAUCCCCACCUGACUUACAGAGAGAGCUGCACAGCCUGUCUUUGCACCAUAUUAUUUUGUGUUAGGGCAUCUCCUGAUGAACUGCAUGGGAUAAACUACCUGUAUCUGUGCCUUCGGACAAAGUCAAAUGAAAAAAGGUGGGAAUGCUGGAGAAUGGAUACAGAAAAGGGAAGAAUGCAAAUUCAUUUCCUCUAUAAGGUAUCCUCGUGGCUGCCAUGUCAUUCAGGCGUCUUGUGAUUGUAGUUGAUCCAGCUGGUUUAACACUGCAGGUCUAAAGUGAUUAUUAUCAAAAUAUUUCAUAUGUUCAGGGACUUUCAUUUGCAUGUCUCGCCAAUGUGCUCAGAUCAUGGAACACCUGCAAUUUUACACAACAAAUUCCCUGUUGUGGAGAGACCUGGCAGUCAUGUGUCAUCUCAGUUCUGUGUCAAACUUUGUUGUGGCUGGUUUACUAUUACGGAUCUUAUACUGCUAAAUUUAUUUACCAAUCUACUUGUGUUUGCUAUAAGGAGCAAGGAAACGCUUUACAACUUGGAGAAUACAUCUCUCUAGAAUAGGUAUCUCCAGGUCCUUCAAGAUGGAAUUAAUACAACCAUGGGAGACUAAGUUUUGGAAAUCAAAUGACCUUUUCAACUUUUAUUUUCCACAAGGAGAAAACAAAGGCAUUAAACUCAUCUCUCAUCUCUUUUCUAUCCAUGACACACACCUUCAAUGUGAGGUAUAGACUGCUAAACGCUCUUCAAAGCAGAAGGAUUUUUAUUAUUAACAUCUUGUCAUAAACAAAGUUUUCCCAAUUGCUAAAACUAAUAGGUAGUAUAAACACCAGUGAUCACGGUUCUUCUUUCCUGACACCACAUAUGAAAUUCUAAAUUGAUAUAUGCAAACAGAAAUUAGUGUCUCAGCUGUAUAUGCAACAGAAGAAUUAAUAUCAGUCUUUAAAAAUCAUGAAAUGGAAUUUAGAAACAUCUGCAUGCUAAUCACUGAAACAAUAAAAAAAAAUGGAAGGUGUUUAGAACAAAACAACUUUGUUUUCUAUUUGUCACAUUGUGUUUUUUAAAGUGGCAAAUGAAAAGAUACAAUUUCCAUAAAAUGGAAGUAUUACAAGUUCAGUUAGACAGCAACCAGUUUACAUUGAAAUCAGUUGUUUAAAUCUUGUACUGGUUUAAUUUGCUUUUUUAUGGAGAAUCACAUUUUUUAAAUUGCAGGGUUAAGACUAUAGUUAUUACUUUAAAUAUUUAUGAAAAAGACUAAUGAAAUUUCCUGUUGUUCUCUAAUUCAAAUAUGCUGGAGUCACAGACAAUCAAGUUGUCAAGGCCCAAACUUAGAAGGGUUCUUAUGUACUCAGAACAAGGAGGGUUUCCUUAGAUUAUAUCAAAAUAUGAAACAGAUAUUUUCCCUUCAAGUCAUAAACAGUGCCUGGCAUUCCUGCUUACUAUAUAAAUCAAAUAUUAACCAAAUCAAAUAUAAAUCCCUUUUUUACUAUCUCCAUAUUUCUAAUUUACCACAGCUCAGUGUAAUUUCAGCUUUGUGUACAAAUUGAAUCCAAGCAAUUAUUAAAUAAUUAAUAAAAUAUUAUUUUAAAAAAAGAACUAUGGGGUUUUUUAAGCGCUUUAUAUGAUUCACUGCAUUCAUUCAAGCAGUCCAUUUGCAACCACUGUUAAUUCACAUUCAUAUUCUCAUAGUCAUUUGAUUUUUUCUUCAUUGUGGAUCAUAACUUAUUAUGGAUAAAAACUUUCUAGAUUACUUCAAAUCAUAACUAUCAGUUCAAAACCAGGGGACUGAUUAGCUACUUUGUUUUUUACUAUCAGAAACACAAAGGGUUCAACACUGACAAAGAAACCAAAGAAAAAAUGGAAAUUGGGUAGACUGAUACAAGAAAUUGGAGUUAGAGAGCUACAUAUUUUCACUAAACAAAGCAAAACUAAAAUUAUCAUAUGACAGCCAUUUAAAGGAAUACAAAAGGACUUACUUCAUGUGAUUCACCAGGGUAAAAUUCACAAAGCACUCAUUAAAAAAAAAUCCCAUUAAGAAACAAGAGACUGAUUAUCAGCAAAUAAUUCAUAAGAGAUACAAAGCUGGUCAAGAAAAGAUCUCCCAAAGGAUUCCCAUUAGCUCGAGUUUUAAAAUUAGGCUGUACAACAUAUAAGAACAUGUACUUCAGGGAUUCAACCUGUUCAUCCAGGGGAUAGAAAAGUGGCUUACUUUCCCAUUUUAUUUUGCUAUUUUGUGUGGAAUCUGGUUACAAGGUCUGAAAUGAGGCAGGUACUGAAAAGAAAGCCAAGGAGGAAGAUGACCUGCAUUCCUUGAAAGAACAGAGAGUGGCUUAAGUUGAAACAAAUAGCUUUUUCCAGCAUACUUACAUAUUGGUUGCUAAACCGAACAAGCAAAAACAGCACAAUCUUUUUUCUUGUAGCUACAUUCCACAAAUUCCCUAUGAAAAAGCUAAAAAACAACCAAAUGCCAUGAAGUGCACCUUCUGAUCACAGCUUUAGAAAUCUAUUGGCUUCUUUCCAAAAUAACCUCAGUAAGAUUUAAAUAGCUGAGGUAAACUAUUGAAUAUGUAGAUACUAAUAAGAUUUCCACUAAUUUCACACAUUUUGCUGCAGUAGCUCUAUGAUUAAUAAGAUGGAACUAGUAGAGAUCAGUCCUUCAGAGAAUGUAUUUGACUCUUGUUUCCAUUCUCUGCUCCUGGUGUGGUGGUCUACAGUGUUGGAGUAUCCAUUUAUGGCCUCGGUUCUUCUAACUACAGGUUUUUUUAUAUAUUUUAUGUGUUGGGUAACAGGAGAGAGAUGCAAAAAUAAGUUGAAGACAUAUUCUAUGCUGUUGCUUUCUACAGCAGUGUUGAAAUACAACUUUGCUGCUUGAAGCAUCAGCCACACACUCCCAUUUUUAGGAACAGGGAGGUGAAAUACCUUGGUGGGGAUCCAAGAACACAAAAUGUUCUAACACACACCACUUUAGCAGCACCAUGGUAAGGCACAGUGUUUCCUUCUCUUUAUUUACCAACCACAUUCCUCAUCACUAUAAAGCUAUUGGGGUGGAGGGGUAAGGAAUGAGCUUUUGUACUGGUCUCUGAAAGAUUUCCUCCUGUUUCUGAUCCACCUGUUCCUUUUCAUCCAGAGCCAUUUCUUAUAGUCCUCACAGCACUCGUUUUUAGUACGGGAGUUACCUACAAAUAUUUCAUCCUUGUUUUAUUACAUCUAGAGAUUGUUUAGAAACUAAUGAAAUCUUACCAUAAAACAAAUUAGUAUAAUAAACUAUACUGCAAACUCCACUGUAAUGUCACAGUCAUCUUAAAUAAAUUUCUGUCAGUAAAUUUCAUCAAAAUGAACAUAUUUGUUUUUCCAGCUGACACCAAUGUUGUUGAAUUAUUUUUUCAUCAUGAUCCCUCUACUUUUUUCUCCAGAAAAUGCUGCUCUCAAGAACUUUACUUCAUGUCUCUUCCACAUUACAUCCUCAAAUUAUUUGUCACAAAACAUCUGCUUUGAGUAAAUAAGUAUUUACAAAGGAAAAAAAAAGAUAAAAUCCUAUUCAUUGCAUCUGCACAAGGAGGCUAAAAACCACAGGACAAUGAAGUAUCAGGUAUCUAUGACAAAGUGGAACAAAUUCAGAGAUACUGUGAACUGUGGUGUCGAUUACACAUAGAGAAACACAUAAUUCAGGGUGAAAAAGACUGGCUGGUGCUAAAAGACAAAACGGCUGAUUAUCCCCCCCUGCCCGGCUGUUUUAUUUCAUAAUAGGAGAACAGACUGAAAUUGACUUUUCAGGAACGCCAGGAAAAAUGUAUAUUGCACUGCUGCCUCUAUUAACCAUGGCCCAGACACAAAGGGAUCCACAGGCUGCCUUAGGAGAGGACUAAGGGAGUUCUCUCGGCCUUCCUGGCCACUGUGCAGGAAGCACAGAGAGCAGGAGAACACUGGGGAACGGGACAAAGGCCCAUCUAUCACUCAAAUGCAAAAUUUGUCAGUGUUUGACCUUCAACUGUUUGGAGGUUUUUAUCUGCAAGCUAAUUUUCCAUUUUCAUUUUUCCACAUCCAUGCUGUAGUUCCUGAGUACAGUAAAUCUCCCCCUUUUUUUUGAUAUAUAAUCUCUUUUAAUAUCCUGUGCUCUCUUAUCACACUACAGUCCUACCCUGUAAUAUAUUGUCCAUAAAUUUUUCAAAUGAUAUGAACUUUAACAGCUAUGGAUGUGAUUGAAAUACAACAGUAACUAUUUUGUUCCUACAAAAAUAUUCUAUGGAGGCUCAUGUUUGGCCUUUACGCUGAAGUUACAUCUGAGUCAUGAAAAUUUAAGAAUGGAAGAAAAUUGAGUCUCAAACUCAAAGCCAUAAAAGGCACAACACCAAUGAUGAUGCUUUUUCUGAUUUUCUCUGAUUUAUGAUAUACAUUUAUUUGUCCAUGAAAGGAGAUGCACAAUCACUCUAAGUCAAAUACACGUAAGUAAAAUGCUAAAACUCAAAAAUGUGAUGUCUCAUUCUUACAGCUGAUAAAUGUUAUCAGCCAUAAACAUAUCAGGGGCAAGGCCUAUAGAUCAUAUACUACAAACAGAAAUUAAAAUUAAAUAUGGUUUUGUUGAGGAAUCCAAAGUCUUAUAUUUAAAAAUAUUUAAAAAGGGCCAACAGUCCUCAAUCCUCCAUGAUAAAAUGCUUUCUAAAUGAUAAAAUUCUUUCUAAAAUGAUCCCACUCACCUGCUGAAAUGUUUCAUUUUUGCUGCUUUUUUCAGCUUUUUCCUCAGACAAUUCCACCAAACUCAGACACUGAAACUCUGUCUUGAGUCAAAUCCAGCUACACUUCCACCUACUAAAGAAAUGUGAUGUCUUUUGAAAAUUGCAACUUAUUUUUCAAGUGCCAUAGUAUUCCACUCUAUGCAAAUUCCACUCUGUGCAAUGCAGACUAAUGGUCACAGUUUGUCACAAAAAUUCAAAUACUUGGAUAUUGCUGCAAGCCACACUUUUGACAGGUCUUUGGAGGGGCCUAAUGAUAGAGUUUUCACAAAACUUUUCUGCAACUGUAGCUCCGAUACCCUAUUAAACUGAGUUAAUGAUUCCAGAGAAGCACUCCUUGAACAGUGGUUUACUAGUUAAGCAACAAAAUUUCCUUCCUGAAGCUCUUUACUGGCACCCCAUUUCCUAUUUACAAAGACCACCACAGUAAAACACUAUCUUGCAGUUUAGAAUGUGUCACAUUAAUAGGAGAUUAAAGAACUUCUGCUCAAAAAUACCUUACAGAAAACCUGAAAAUCAAGUCCAGGGAGCAAAGCACCAACAGUCACACACAUUAUUGGUCUCCAAAUAUGAAGACUCUUUAUAUUUUUGAGACAUGCUUAAUGAUAUG